AAAUGAAUAGACGGGGGCCCGCACAAGCGGAGGAACAUGUGGUUUAAUUCGAUGAUACGCGAGGAACCUUACCUGGGUUUGAACGCAUGUUGCAUAAGAUAGAGAUAUCUUUUUCCCUAGGGACUACAUGCGAGGUGCUGCAUGGUUGUCGUCAGCUCGUGCCGUGAGGUGUCGGCUUAAGUGCCAUAACGAGCGCAACCCUCAUCGCCGGUUACCAGCGGAUAAUGCCGGGGACUCUGGCGAAACUGCCGGCGUAAGCUGUGAGGAAGGUGGGGAUGACGUCAAAUCAGCACGGCCCUUAUAUCCAGGGCUACACACGUGUUACAAUGGUCGGUACAAAGGGCAGCUACCUGGCAACAGGAUGCCAAUCUCAAAAACCGAUCCCAGUUCGGAUUGGAGUCUGCAACUCGACUCCAUGAAGUUGGAUUCGCUAGUAAUCGCGCAUCAGCCACGGCGCGGUGAAUACGUUCCCGGGCCUUGUACACACCGCCCGU
rnacentral:rRNA from 1 species